rnacentral:rRNA from 1 species
UACGUAGGGGGCAAGCGUUGUCCGGGUUUAUUGGGCGUAAAGAGCGUGUAGGCGGUUUGGUAGGUCCGCUGUGAAAACUCGAGGCUCAACCUCGAGACGCCGGUGGAAACCAUCAGACUAGAGUCCGGAAGAGGAGAGUGGAAUUCCUGGUGUAGCGGUGAAAUGCGCAGAUAUCAGGAAGAACACCCGUGGCUAAGGCGGCUCUCUGGGACGGUACUGACGCUGAGACGCGAAAGCGUGGGGAGCGAACAGG